rnacentral:lncRNA from 1 species
GUUUUAAUUCAGUAAAGGUUCUAUUGUACAGUAUAUAAAUUAUUGAUAAUCUGUAUUGAUAAUCUUAUCAACUUUUAAAACAAAUAUAACACACAUAGCACACGAAUGACUGCCUUAAAAUUGUUUACUGAGGGCAAAAUAAAAUAUAACUCGGUUUCUGUACCUUGUAUAACCAUUUCAUUUCAAGCAUUCUUGAACCAAGAAAAUUUGAGAAAUUAAAAACGGUUAAGAAAAAAUAUUUAAAAAUAUAAUUAUGUUGGUCUAACUACAACCAUAAGACAAUAACAAUCAUACUGUUUAAUGCAACCAAUGUUUAAAAGAAAAGGUUUAUCAUAAAAUGCAGGUAUAAGAUAGCAAACAAAUAUAAAAAAUAAUAUCAAUUUGGUAUUAAUUACAUUUGAAUAAAAUGAAUAAUUCUAUUUUUAAAUAUAAAAUAAUAAUGAAAACAAAAACGUAAAACUAAAUGUAUAUAAGAUUUCAUAUUUGGAUAUUCCACUGUCCUAUUAUUUUUAUUUAUUCAACUAUACUAUAAAAUACAAUAUAAAGUAACAUUUAGCAAAUGACAUUAAUCUAUAUAAUGCUAAAUGAGGACAAUAAAUAUCUAGCACCAUCAGGAUAUAUAUAAACGAUAUGUUCUAAUGCAUUAUUGUUUGUAAUAUACAAUUUGACAUGAAGUCAACACAUCAUUUAUUCAUAAAAAAAAGUUGUUUGCACCAAGGAAAGGUAUUUAAAAGAAAUAAAGUUGUUUACAUUUAGGUAUAAUUUAAUUUCAGAUGUAACACUUCUUCUCAUUGGCUUAGAGCUUUUUGUCUAUAAGCUCAUAGACAUAAUUUUGUCAUUUGACCAUGAUGCCAUCAAUGUUAUUUUUAAUGAUAUACUCCUUUGAGAUGAAAUACGAAUUAAAUUAUAAGGAAUGAGUGUAACAUUAUUCAAAAUAACCUAAAAUAUGUGGUGCACAAUGAAUAACCUGAGUAACAGGUUAUUUAUAAGUGUGCACAACAUUAGACAGAAAAAAAUAUUGCAGUCAUUCAUUAAAUAACAUCAGAAUAAGACUGACAUUUAUAGUACAGCAAUUUCACCAAAAAAAGUAUAAAGUUUAAAUUUGUUAUAUUUUUAUAAUAAAUGUACAUAUGUUAUGAACUUUGAUAAAUCACUUUGGUAAACUGUAAAAUAUUAUAUUAUUUAUGCCUUUCCUCCAUGUAUGACACCUUUUGACACCAUCCCCAUAACUCCAUCAUUGACGCCUGUGUUGUGCCUCAGUUGAAACAUCUUACCUACGAAAAAUCUGUAUCAGUCUUAAUAUUUGUAUCUAAUAUAAAAAAGGAUAUUCAUGAGAAUAUCUGACUGGAAUUUCAUUGAUAAAAUAUUCGUUUUUCGCAAUGCAUUUAAUUAAACCUGCAUAUUUUUUUGUUAUUGAAAAGUUCCUAUGCGAAUCAAGUAUGUAAAUAGAAAUUUCAUGGAGGAAAAGGAUAAUAUGGUCAUUAACAAUUCAAUCUGUAAAACAUUGAAUUCUUACUUAUUGUCAGCCCUUCUCCCCUCCCGUCCUCAAAUUGCAAAGAAAUGCUUUAAAAUAGAACAAUAUCGAUGUCAAAAAACAGAAUGGAAGGAAACUUCUAAUGGUCAUGCCAAAUCAAAUAGUUUGUGUGCAGAUAUAAACAGUUCUGAUAAGAGGUAGUUAGAGGGUAUAAGGGUUCAAAUUUGCCUUUCAGAAUUGAAAGAACUAUGGGUAAUCUCAUUGUUUGUACACCAAAAUGUAAAUAACAUUACUAAUCACAGUGUUUUAAUGUAUUCUUUUGAAAAUGUUACCCAGAAUGCAUUACAUUCUUAAAGGGAGAAUAAGUGUGGGUUCCUGUUGUGGGACCUUCCUGUUCUUUAAUGAAGUGAACCAUUGAUAUUUAGAUUGUAAAGGCAAGGCAAUGCAUUCUUUACAUGGGAUCUAUGACUCUUGAAAGGAGGGCCAUCAUUUGAAAAUUUAAAUGGUUAUGAACCUUUUAUUAGAUAAACAAAUUUGAAACACAAUUAUUUUCGAUAAUUUGUAUAUACUAAAUGCAAUUAAUUAACUUUAAUAUUAACGUAGCAUACAUUAAAACAACUUCUAAUACAUUAUUUAAUAGGACAAAUCAGCACCGAGUAUUCUAAUAUCAUUUCAAUAAUAUUGUUUAUUAAAUCUAAAA